AGUGAACGCUGGCGGUAGGCCUAACACAUGCAAGUCGAACGGCAGCACAGUAAGAGCUUGCUCUUACGGGUGGCGAGUGGCGGACGGGUGAGGGAUACAUCGGAAUCUACUUUUUCGUGGGGGAUAACGUAGGGAAACUUACGCUAAUACCGCAUACGACCUACGGGUGAAAGCAGGGGAUCUUCGGACCUUGCGCGAUUGAAUGAGCCGAUGUCGGAUUAGCUAGUUGGCGGGGUAAAGGCCCACCAAGGCGACGAUCCGUAGCUGGUCUGAGAGGAUGAUCAGCCACACUGGAACUGAGACACGGUCCAGACUCCUACGGGAGGCAGUAGUGGGGAAUAUUGGACAAUGGGCGCAAGCCUGAUCCAGCCAUACCGCGUGGGUGAAGAAGGCCUUCGGGUUGUAAAGCCCUUUUGUUGGGAAAGAAAAGCAGCAGGUUAAUACCCCGCUGUUCUGACGGUACCCAAAGAAUAAGCACCGGCUAACUUCGUG
rnacentral:rRNA from 1 species